UAACUCUUGGUGCUUUUGUAGAUGUCUGUGCUCGGGAUGCUUCCAAGGCUGUUCCAUGAGGGACUAAAAGGAGAAAAACUAAGGUAACCUGGAUCUUGUAUUACUCACAAUUGAACUCUCAGGACCACAGUCAGAAAUCCAAAUAUAAGGCCAGCUAGUAAACCAAGGUCGAGCCCCAGAAUGAUGGAUGCUAUGCAUGUAAACACCCAGAUAACCUAGGAAAAUAUGGAAAUGGAAAGAAUUAUGUUAAUUCUUCAUCAGGUGCCAUCAGGAGAAAACUCGCCAACAAACAGAAGCCUAGUUCCUGAGCCUGCCUCCUGCCCCAUCCACUGGUUGGGCCUUGCUGUCUCACAUGUGGCUGGAAAGGAUAGCUUCCGAGAACAGCUCCCAAACUUUCUGGCCGAUUGAAGGAGGGGUUUGCCAGAGAUUAACUGGGAUGCUGGGUUUUGGGUCACCUUGCAAAGGCAACAACUAAAAACCACAUUUAAACAGCAGGAUUAAACCCACAUUCAGAAUGCCAGGAACAAAAAUUUACUCAGGGAGAAAUGCCAAAAUGUUCCAACAAAAAUAACGUUGGCCAGCAAACUGCUGUUCUGUGGGACCAAACUCUUCUGGAGGAAGUCCCUGACUCUUAUAAAGGAAAUAUAAAUUGACGCUUUUCAUUUUCCUGAAAAUGUAAUAACUCACUCAGCCAUGAAGUGCUCUUACUACCAGGCCUUCUCUAUCCUCAGAUAACAAAUUGGUAAAAAAUCAGCGUUCUUCAUUACUGAUUGCUUGUCAACGGUUAUUUUCCCUGAAAAAGCAGGUAAGCAUAGCUGUCUGCCAGCUAAGCAGGGACACAAAGAGGCUGGAGAAUGGCUGCAUCAGAAAACCAUAAAUGUUGUUGACGAGGUUUUCCGGAAGGGGGUAGAUCCCGAAGAGAGAUAGGCCCGAGGUGAAAUCAGGUCAGAAAGGGCAAGUUUCUCUCUUCCUCAAAGGCUAAUUGUCCUGCUCAGAGCUUGUGCAAGCC